UAGGAGGAUCGAUCGAGUGGGUGUCACGUGAUUUUAUCGGCAAAGCUCUUUGAUUUCAGAGGUGGCAACGGUUAUAGGUCUAGUUCAACCGGAAGUCCAGGAAGCGCGUCAGAAUUCAUUUACAACAUUGGGUGUCCCAAGCUACCAGGUGUGGGUGUAGGACUAGUAAAGUAGGAGUCUUCUUUCCCUGACGUGGUGUUGACCUGUAUGUUGUGUAAUUUACUACAUUUAUAUAGUGUGAGAACUUAGGAAAUCACUGGACAUUUGUAGAACUUAGCUCACCAUCACAGCUCAACCAAUUCAAAGGCAGUCCAACAUGACUACAUUACAGAGCCUAUGUGUUGUAGCACUAUUGCUGUGUUUAUGCGAACACACAGUCGCGAGGAGUAUUGAAUGUUCCACCCUUUGCACGCAAGGUUACUCCAUUACCUCUUGUGAAUGUUGGAGGUUCAAGGUCAAACUUCCCUUCCGGUUUGGUAAAAGAGGGAGACUUCCAUUCAGAUACGGAAAACGAGAUUCACCUGUGAUAUCAUCAUACGACAGUAGUAUAGAAAAACCAAGUUAUGAAGACGCUUUGGACUUAUUGCGAAGCUUCUCAUCCGAUGAUUACUAACCUCCGGGGAUUAACAGGUCUGGAUCAUAGCAUUGUCUGAAUCAGCGUCUGACGGAACCUUGUAAUGUCACACACUCAAGUGCCUAUAGGGAUCAUCUCGAAACCGUAAAACAAAACGAUAUCAUAUUGCAGGAGAAAUGUGAAAAUCUGUUUAGGAGAAAGUGCAUAUUGAUUUUGUUAAUAAAGAUGUGGAAAAUGUUAAUUGCAGUUUCAAAAAGUAGAAGUGUGUUACCAUGAUCUGUUCAAAACAUUCAGAGGCAAAUCGUUCUAUCAGCUACAUCCAGAUGUCAGUAUCAUGUUAUCACAGGACGCACAGUAGGUAAUUUGUUUAUGUUUGAUAAUUGCAAUUGGACCUCGUUAGCCUGUACUAACUGUUGUUUUCAUAAGGAAAGGCAAGGAUGAUUUUUGUUUCGGAAAGAAAAGCGCCCUGAGGAAAGAAGAACUUUAAAUUGCGAAAGUCGGAAAACGUGAACCUAUUUCGAAGUCAAGUUUUUCUGAUCACUGGUGCAUCUAAAUUACUGCACACAGUGUAUAUGUUAUCAGAAUAGCAGCUACAUACAAUUCCUUAACUUGUGAACAUUAUAACUGAUACAUACGUUAAGAGACCAUGCGGGCGAGCUUGUCAGCUGAAUAAUUUGUUAUCAUGAAAGUGUAUUUGUAUAUGAGUGGAUAUUGUUAAUUAAAACACCUUAAGUCCGAAUAAAUCCGGAGUGAUGUUAUUGUGGAAGGUAAAUAUCUGUUUGUGAUCAAUGGUAGCUCGAUUUAACGAGGCUCUGUAUUGCAAAUAUAGUUUCAUUAGAAACAUCAUAUGGACUAACCGUUGAACGUCCAAUAGCCAGGGCCUACUUGUGGCAAGCAUCUUAAUGACCAUCAACUUUUAUAAAGCACAUUGAUUUAAUGUUGAUCGAGGUUAAGUUUCAACUUUUAGAUGUGUCGCACAUGUGGGACCUGGAUUAUUAGACAAAAAGUAAAUUCUAAAGUCUACGGUGCCCUGUCAUUCCUUUACGGUAACUGUAUCAUUUUUAGAAGAUAUUCUGAUUAAAAUCAUAAAUACUCAAACCUUUUUGUAUGGGUCGUCAAACCUAUUCUAGGUACCGAAUCGGGGAAAGAGUUAUGCCUUUUUAGAAUUGCUAUGCCACCGAAUUGUACACGUGAUAUUUGCGAAUGCGACAUGGUUUAAAACACGUAGAUACAAUUGCAUGUUUAAAAGGACAAAUUGUUAUCUUUGGCAUACCACAGAAGUACAUCUCAUGUAUUUUCUCCUAUCUUUCUACCAACUCAUUUCUUCAUCGAAAGUAAUAUUGUUCUCCCUCCUACACAAAACAGCUAUCUGCAAUUCUCGAAAACAAAUGAUAUCCGGAUAACAACAGGAUAUGAUUCUUUUAAGAGUAUGUCGAACAGGGAUUCGGAGAUUUCCUAUCGGUAUUUCAUCAAAAAUUACAAAACACUGUUGAUACUGAAGACAACUACAUGAGAAGAUACCGACUUUUACGAUCAGAAGCCCAUACGUCAAUCGUUUCCAUGGUGACAUCGGGUAAGCUUGGCCGAUUGCCUCUCGUUCGACCAGGAUACAAUCACCUCUUUAUGGCUUAUCUGUACUAAUUCAUGGACUAUUAUUUAAAAGAUCUGGUUGAAGUUUUUUGAAAGAAUUGCGGUUAAGUUAUUGAUCUUACAUUUUCUAUGAAAAAAUGAUAUAAUUUUAUUUUCGAUUAUUUAUACUGAACAAGUUUUAUUAUUUAUUUUGUAAUAAUUGAUUAAUAUGUUCAAUUUUUUUUUAUACCACUUAUACUCCUGCAACCAUAUGUCGUGAAAUGACCUAUAAAUAGUCCUCGUUGAUUCAGCCAUAACUAGUCCUGACGCACGGUUACACAGCCAGUGGCCAGAACAUCAAAUUCCAGAAUUUCGAUACGGAAACAAAAGGGGUGGACGGUCCCAUUGAUAGAAUGUAUAGGUAGAUUGUAUCUUAACUAAUAAUGUUACAAUAUUCAGUUUGUAUUUUUCAAAUCGAGGUUCCAACAUGGUUUCUGUAUAAAAUAAAGCAAAAGAGAGAUCGCACAAACAAAUAACCAAAAUGAUAUUUUUUUCAAUAAAAGGAAACAACUUGGGUAUUGGGAAUAACGAGGUUCCAUUGUUCCAUCAAUCAUACAUGUAUAUAUGUAGCACGAAAGUAUUGAAACGCUACUCUCUGGAGUAAUCCCCAUUCCAUAUGCUCUCUACAAUGACUUGGUAAGAUCAGUGUUUACUGUUGGGAAUUGGAAUACAGAAGUUGUGUGCUUCAUUGAACAGGCAUGGCAAUUAAUUUCGAAUCAAUCAUAACUUCUGAUUGUAACGAUAUUCUUUGUAUAACGACACCCGAAUAAUACGAGUAGUGUACACAGAGAGAUUCUGUAAACAAAUGGAACCAUUUGAAAAAGUUAAUGUAAUUGGGCGUUGACAAGGUCUACCUCCUCCCCAAGUUAAGCGGGAAAUCACUUUGCACGUGUAAUUCAUAUUUAGAUACAUUUUGCAUCCGUAAUGUAUACAAAUACACUCUGUAUGUGUCAAGUAAUUAGAUACUCUUUACAUGUGUAAUGAAGAUAUAUAUACACUAUAUGUAAUGUAUAUAUAUAACCUUUAUAUGAGUAAUGUUAUUUUACAUAAAUAAUGUUAUAUGGAUUCACUAGCUAGCUCUAAACCUUAAUUUAAAGUUUGCCUCGUAAAGAAAGUUGGGAAGGCGACGUUGGAUAUGAUUCAAAAAUACUACCAGCCUGUGCAAUUUAUUUUCUUACAAGAAAAUAAAAUAUACACCAAA